ACUGCUUUCUUUGCUUCUUUGUUGAAUAAUGAAAUCAAUGGUCUCGAUCCGACUAGCACUUCAUAUCUUUUGCAGCCUAGUUGAGAUAAAUGAGCUUUAUGCAGUUGCAUAAAUAAUUAAUUUUUUUGAUUUCGAGUCUUUUGAACAUCGAGAAAUGCAUUAAAAUUCUCCUAUCCUUCGGUCUGUUCUACAAUUCUAGUGAUGGC
rnacentral:lncRNA from 1 species